rnacentral:rRNA from 1 species
UGCGUAGGGGGCAAGCGUUGUCCGGAAUCAUUGGGCGUAAAGAGCGUGUAGGCGGCCAGAUAAGUCCGCUGUGAAAUCUCGAGGCUCAACUUCGAGCUGUCGGUGGAAACUGUCUGGCUAGAGUCCGGAAGAGGAGAAUGGAAUUCCUGGUGUAGCGGUGAAAUGCGCAGAUAUCAGGAGGAACACCGGUGGCGAAGGCGGUCUCUGGGCCGAAAUUGACGCUGAGGAGCGAAGCGUGGGAGCAAACAGG